ensembl:lncRNA
GGACCUGAAUAACAACACUCUGGCAGGCUGCUGCCUCCUCUUCCCUUCCACAUGCUCUGUUGACGAUCUCACAUUCCAGCCAUAUUCCCCACAAAGCUCAGCGUGUGUGUCUGUUGGUGUGUGUGUGUGUGUGUGUAUUUGCUGUUCUGUAUUGCAAGUUUUCUGGAAAAGUUGCGUGUGCUGUAAUAGCAUUUUCUUUUCUUUUUUUUUUUUUAAGAUUUGCGAGAUUGUCUUUUGGGAGCCAGACACAUUUUUAAAGCACCUUCUGUCUCUAUUUAACUUCAACAAGUAUUUUAUUUUUUUUAUUUUAUGACAGACGAUCCACACCGGAGAGACAUUAGCCACGCUUACGUGUGCAAUAUUUCACCGCAGCUGCACAGGCAGAAACAGGAGGGUUCAAGGAAGGUCAAAUUACUUCAGAAGAGGAUUAUUUACUUUCUACUUUUUUAAAUAGAAAGCAUUUCAUAUUCUUUAAUUGAUAUCAAUUUGUUAAGUAAUUCAUAUAGACAGUCAGACAAAAACAGGCUAAAUAUUAAUAAAGUGCAAUUUCAUCAUUUGGUGUAACCUCUGUCUUUUCUCAUCCUAAAAACAUCUGCAGGCAUCUGCAGUCACACGCAGUCUUACCGUAAAACACAAGUGUUUUUCUUAUGUCUCUUUGAAUAGUUUUUGCAAUUCAGGCAUUAAAGUGCGAUUCAUUUUCUGAUCUUGGAUCUCUAAACAGUUUACAGUUAGUCAUCCAUCAUGUGACCUACUUCAGUAGAAUCUUUCUGCUUCGGUUUUUUGGUUGAGCAGGUAGCAUUAGCCGGUAGCAUUAGCAGGUGGCAUUAGCAUGUGGCAUUAGCAGGUAGCAUAAGCUGGUAGCAUAAGCAGGGAGCAUUAGCAGGUGGCAUUAGCAGGUAGCAUUAACAGGUAACAUUAGCAGGGAGCAUUAGCAGAUGGCAUUAGCAGGUAGCCUUAGCAGGAAGUAUUAGCAGGUGGCAUUAGCAGGUAGCAUAAGCUGGUAGCAUAAGCAGGGAGCAUUAGCAGGUAGCCUUAGCAGGAAGUAUUAGCAGGUGGCAUUAGCAGGUAGCAUAAGCUGGUAGCAUAAGCAGGGAGCAUUAGCAGGUGGCAUUAGCAGGUAGCAUUAACAGGUAACAAUUGCAGGUAGCAUUAGCAGGUGGCAUUAGCAGGGAGCAUUAGCAGGUGGCAUUUGCAGGUGGCAUUAGCAGGAAUUAGCAGGAUGUACCUUCCUCCAUCAUUGCACCUGUCGCACUACUCUUUCCGCGGCUUCGUUCGUCAUCUAAAGGCCCAAAUCGUCACUGAUCUUUUUUAAUUGUGUGUGUUUUCUGGAUUCAUCCCCAGAGGCGUUAGCUCUAAAAACUGAUCAUCACAUCACUGAUCUGCAUAUGCAUGACCAUCUACUCACCUCACGGCUCGGACAGAACAACACUAAUGUGCUAAGACUGCGUAAUGCACGCCACCACAGUGACUAAAUGUGAAAUAUAUAUAUGUAUAUAUUUAUAUAUAUAUAUAUAUAUAUAUAUAUAUAUAUAUCAGAGAGUUAGCGCAGGUGACUUUGCUCGUCGUCUGUAUCAUUAACUGCCCCGCUGUUUGUUGUUGUUGUUGUUAUGCAAACAACCCGGUGUUUUAGGAAUACGCGAUCUUAAUUGUGGAGACACGAGCGCUAACAACAGCUCUGCUGCGUAGCUGCCGUCAGUUAUUGUCGCCAUGGGGUCAUUUGUUUACAGAACUUAAUUAGAACCAUUCAUUUAGCCAUUAAUAAAUUGUACUAAAAAGUAUUGUCCAGUACAUUACGAUUGAAUUUUCUCUCUGUAAUGAAAAGUGGGCCUUUAAGAAGUUGCUGGAAAAUAAUUCCCAAUAAUGGAAUUAGACGCUGAAUGACGGCGCAACAAUAAUAAGAUAAUAAUUGGCAUCGGCCUGCUAAAUUGCUGAACCCUAAUAGAGAAAUGAAAAAAACCACCAAACUUCAGUCCACUCAGAAGACCGAACAAAGGCGGAGUGAGAAACUCAAACAGUGUGUUGCGGCGCUGCGACAGGCGGUAAUCCAGAAUCAAACCAGAUCCACAUGUUGGCCAGAUGAUGCUGUCGGCGUCUGAUGGUUCGGGGGAGUCAGACAUGACCUCACCGGCCAACGUGUGUCACCGCCACCACCCUACCUGAUCUCCACCUCCCCACCGAGGUCUCCCCUCGCACGCACACGCCACUUUACAUAAUUCAGCCCUCAUUGUACGGAGGCCCGGCUCCUACCUCUUUGCAUAAUGGAUCAAAGAGUGAUCUGGCGUCAGCUGCAAAUCUAACUCUAUUUUUCUAUUUGCACACGCGCACACACGCUGGACCCGCUAACCGAGAGAUUGGUCUGAAGUGACAGUAAUGUAAUAUUAAUAGCCAGCGGGGGGAUGACAGUCUGUCCCCAUUGUGUUGAUACCCGCAGGCUUGACAGAGCUUUGGUCACGCAUCCCACUGCUGUACAUCUGCUAACACUGGUACAAUAAGUCCUCUCUGUCUCUUUCAAUCCCUCCUCUGUCUCUCUUUCCGCGGCCGGCCCACAGAUCGUACGAUUCAAGGUGUUAAUUCUUUACCCAAGAACAAUGUCGGCUCGUCCUGCUUUAAAGUCAGCUGAUUGCAGUGCAGUUGUUUGUACGUAAACUCGUGAAAAAUCCCCUCAUUUAAGCAUUUUAUGUAAGUUACGACCUCGUAAACAGGGCUUGACCAGUGAAGCAAAUUGGCCAAAAAAAUCACACCAACAUUAUUGGUUUAAUAUUGCAUACGUAAAAACAGUCCCCGCCGAAUGCUCUGCGUUGUUUUCAUAGUUUGAAAAAACAACGUGAUCCACCCGUGUCCAGCCUCCACCCUGACCUCCGAUUUAAGUUUUUAAUAUUGUUGAUUCAACCCAGAUUUGAUGUUCACAGCACAGAUCUUGUAGCAAAAAUCUUAGAAUCUGAAAACAACUACAUGUCAAAUGUUGUUCUACAUCCGGUGUCUCUCUGGUGACGACACAAUUCUGUCCAAAACGCUGAACAAUUGCCCUUUUUUGGGGUAAUUGAAAAGGGAUAUUCAAGUUUUCACUUCAAAACGUUCACAAAUUGCCUGAUAUUGCCUCUUAAACAUACAUUUAUUUGAAUACAGCUGUUUGGGUUCUCUUUCUUUAACGCUUCUCUGCGUGAAUUAAGGGACAAAUAUGGGCACAUAUUUUAUGCAAUAUGGAGAUUAUAUUUAAUGAACUUCUCUUUUUCUAUAUUAGUGACUUUUGUAGCCGCGCAUUGAGUGGACCUUUAACCCUUUAACUUUUCAAUGGGGUGAAAGCACUUUUCCCACAGAUGUGUCCAGAUGUGCAUGGACGGGGACAGAUAGAGACCAAUGGUGAGGGGGGGGGGGAGACAGCGGCUUAUUGACUUCGCAGUCCUGUGCUCGGCACCGAGGAUCCACAGAAGGCCUCCAGAGCGUCCGGCUUCAAUCACACGCGUACAAGUAAAGAAAAAACAUCUGAGACACAGAUGCAGACGACGGAGGAACGGGUGGGGGGCUUGUGGGGUUUGACGGGGGGUGGGG